AUACGGAGGAUGCGAGCGUUAUCCGGAUUUAUUGGGUUUAAAGGGAGCGUAGGUGGGAUAUUAAGUCAGCUGUGAAAGUUUGGGGCUCAACCUUAAAAUUGCAGUUGAUACUGGUUUCCUUGAGUACGGUACAGGUGGGCGGAAUUCGUGGUGUAGCGGUGAAAUGCUUAGAUAUCACGAAGAACUCCGAUCGCGAAGGCAGCUCACCGGGCCGGAACUGACACUGAUGCUCGAAAGUGCGGGUAUCAAACAGGAUUAGAUACCCUGGUAGUCCGCACAGUAAACGAUGAAUACUCGCUGUUUGCGAUACACUGUAAGCGGCCAAGCGAAAGCGUUAAGUAUUCCACCUGGGGAGUACGCCGGCAACGGUGAAACUUAAAGGAAUUGGCGGGG
rnacentral:rRNA from 1 species